CUGGCUCAGGAUGAACGCUAGCUACAGGCUUAACACAUGCAAGUCGAGGGGCAGCAUGAAGUAGCUUGCUACUUUGAUGGCGACCGGCGCACGGGUGCGUAACGCGUAUCCAAUCUACCCAUGGCUCAGGGAUAGCCUUUCGAAAGAAAGAUUAAUACCUGAUGGUUUACCCUUAAGGCAUCUUUUGGGUAAUAAAGAUUUAUCGGCGAUGGAUGAGGAUGCGACUGAUUAGGUUGUUGGCGGGGUAACGGCCCACCAAGCCGACGAUCAGUAGGGGUUCUGAGAGGAAGGUCCCCCACAUUGGAACUGAGACACGGUCCAAACUCCUACGGGAGGCAGCAGUGAGGAAUAUUGGUCAAUGGACGAGAGUCUGAACCAGCCAAGUAGCGUGAAGGAUGACGGCCCUAUGGGUUGCAAACUUCUUUUGUUUGGGAAUAAGGUGCUCUACGUGUAGAGUUUUGUAUGUACCUUACGAAUAAGCAUCGGCUAAUUCCGUGCCAGCCGCCGC
rnacentral:rRNA from 1 species